UUUAAAUUUAGAGUUUGAUCCUGGCUCAGGACGAACGCUGGCGGCGUGCUUAACACAUGCAAGUCGAGCGAUGAAGCUUUCUUCGGGAAGUGGAUUAGCGGCGGACGGGUGAGUAACACGUGGGUAACCUGCCUCAAAGUGGGGGAUAGCCUUCCGAAAGGAAGAUUAAUACCGCAUAAUAUAGGAGAAUCGCAUGAUUUUCUUAUCAAAGAUUUAUUGCUUUGAGAUGGACCCGCGGCGCAUUAGCUAGUUGGUAAGGUAACGGCUUACCAAGGCAACGAUGCGUAGCCGACCUGAGAGGGUGAUCGGCCACAUUGGAACUGAGACACGGUCCAGACUCCUACG
rnacentral:rRNA from 1 species